rnacentral:rRNA from 1 species
GAUGAACGCUGGCGGCGUGCCUAAUACAUGCAAGUCGAGCGAACGGACGAGAAGCUUGCUUCUCUGAUGUUAGCGGCGGACGGGUUAGUAACACGUGGAUAACCUACCUAUAAGACUGGGAUCACUUCGGGAAACCGGAGCUAAUACCGGAUAAUAUUUUGAACCGCAUGGUUCAAAAGUGAAAGACGGUCUUGCUGUCACUUAUAGAUGGAUCCGCGCUGCAUUAGCUAGUUGGUAAGGUAACGGCUUACCAAGGCAACGAUGCAUAGCCGACCUGAGAGGGUGAUCGGCCACACUGGAACUGAGACACGGUCCAGACUCCUACGGGAGGCAGCAGUAGGGAAUCUUCCGCAAUGGGCGAAAGCCUGACGGAGCAACGCCGCGUGAGUGAUGAAGGUCUUCGGAUCGUAAAACUCUGUUAUUAGGGAAGAACAGAUGUGUAAGUAACUGUGCACAUCUUGACGGUACCUAAUCAGAAAGCCACGGCUAACUACGUG